rnacentral:snoRNA from 1 species
AAAUCGUGGUGUGGGCAAAUGUUAAGUAAUUCUUUAAACCUAUCCCAACAUUGGUAGAGAGUUUCUCCUAGUUUUUGAGUGAAAGUGGUGAUUUGUCUUUUGAAAU